rnacentral:rRNA from 1 species
CCUGGCGGCUUUAGCGCGGUGGUCCCACCUGACCCCAUGCCGAACUCAGAAGUGAAACGCCGUAGCGCCGAUGGUAGUGUGGGGUCUCCCCAUGUGAGAGUAGGGCAUUGCCAGGC